CCAGACCACCAGGCACAGGAAAGGGGACAAGGGAGACUUGAAAUCAGAAUGGGAAGAGACAUGCAUUACCUACUGUCCGUUAAAAUGUGUUCCUUCAAAAAAAAAAAAAAAUGUGUUCCUUCUACAAAUGUCCCAAACAAUGUUAUACCAUGAGCCUUGCCGGGGGCCUGGGAAGGGAGGAGCCUGUGCAAGUGGCCAGCAUGAAGUCCUAUGGACAUCGCUGUGGCCGUGGGGGUCGGGAGGGGUCCCUUGGCUCUGAGGCCCUGUUACCCCACCCCUUCCAGUCCCCAUACCCAGAUCUUAGUACAGAGACACUUCGUGGACAAACACACCUCCUGGUGUCAUCACAAUCAGUUUAUAUUUUCUAGUUUUUCGACAAUAGCAGAUAUUUACAUUUUUUUCCAAAUAAGAAUCCUUACCCCCAGAGGAAAAAUUGUUUGGCGGUCACCGAAGCCCAUGGCAAUCAGUACCACACGAAGGAUGGAACCGAGGAGGAAAAGACUGGAAGGAAAUACACUGAAACUCUACAGGGAGCUUUGUUUGGAUGGUGGCGCCCACGUUGGAGGAGACUGGCAGAGACAAAGCAGAGUCUUCACUGGCCCCUGAAGCCAUGAGGCCUCCAUGGGUCCAUCCUAAGAAGACAUCCUUCCUGAAGGAGCCCUGAAGGAGGCUGGGGUCCCUCACGAGCACACCAGUUAUCAAGUUCCCGUUUUACCUGCAACCAUCUUCCUAUCACAAUUCCACACACUUGGCCAGUUACCUAUUUUCUUGCAGGGCCAUGACAGGUGAGAAGGGAAGUCCAGUUGCUUUGGUGCUUUGCAAGUGACGGAGCACCGUGGUGUGUCUUCUGCAGUUACACAUGCGAUCAAUCUCUGAGAAGGAAGCAAAACCCUUGUGGUUGAAAGACGGCUCCCUCCUCGGUAGUCAAGGCAAAAGCAGCACAGAGAACAGCUGCUGUGGAACGUCACUUCCUUUCCCACAUGCUGGAAACUCGGCCUUUCAGUUCUCACCCUGCUGUGUGUUUGAGGCAUGUGAACUGCAACCAUGACAAGCUAAAUCAUGCAAAUAAUUUCACAAAUAAACAUGACUUCUCUUUCUAGUAAAAUAGAAGU
rnacentral:lncRNA from 1 species